GACGAACGCUGGCGGCGUGCUUAACACAUGCAAGUCGAACGGAAAGGCCCUGCUUUUGUGGUGUGCUCGAUUGGCGAACGGGUGAGUAACACGUGAGUAACCUGCCCUUGACUUUGGGAUAACUUCAGGAAACUGGGGCUAAUACCGGAGAUGAUCUCCUGCUGCAUGUUGGGGGUUGGAAAGUUUCGGCGGUUGGGGAUGGACUCGCGGCUUAUCAGCUUGUUGGUGGGGUAGUGGCUUACCAAGGCUUUGACGGGUAGCCGGCCUGAGAGGGUGACCGGCCACAUUGGGACUGAGAUACGGCCCAGACUCCUACGGGAGGCAGCAGUGGGGAAUAUUGCACAAUGGGCGGAAGCCUGAUGCAGCAACGCCGCGUGCGGGAUGACGGCCUUCGGGUUGUAAACCGCUUUCGCCUGUGACGAAGCGUGAGUGACGGUAAUGGGUAAAGAAGCAACGGCUAACUACGUG
rnacentral:rRNA from 1 species